UACAGGGGGUGCAAACGUUGCUCGGAAUUAUUGGGCGUAAAGCGCGCGUAGGCGGCCGCUUAAGUCGGAUGUGAAAGCCCCUGGCUCAACUGGGGAAGUGCACCCGAAACUGAGUGGCUUGAGUACUAAAGAGGGUCGCGGAAUUCCCGGUGUAGAGGUGAAAUUCGUAGAUAUCGGGAGGAACACCAGUGGCGAAGGCGACUACCUGGCCUGUUCUUGACGCUGAGGCGCGAAAGCUAGGGGAGCAAACGGG
rnacentral:rRNA from 1 species